CAUUUCAGGCAAAGGGGCAAAGGCCUUGAGGGGUGAUGCAAUCGCAGCCUUAGGAAAAAAUAAAUAAAUAAAGGCAGAGACCUUGUGUGCAAGUGGGGAGAGAAGAGGUGGGAGAGAGAGGCGGAUAUAGGCCACACGACACAGGGAUGAACGCCAAGGCAAUCACUUGCAGAUGAGGAAACGGAGAUCCAGAAAAGUUAAAGAAUUCGCCCAAGGUUACUUCCUGGGGUGGAGAUUGAAAACCAGGAGGAAGAUUGCUAAAUGCACGCUCAGAGCCUAACCACAGUAGACUUCGUGCAUAAAUACUUUCCACCAGUGACACAACUCCAUGGAUGACUUCUACAGCCAACUCCGCCUUAUCUACGAAUAGAACAGCCCAGCAUGAUCCACCAAGAAUCCAUGAACCAGAUCCAAAGUCUGUCUGUUUGAGGAUUAGAGCUACCAUUGGAGAGUCCCAACACAGUAUGCCAUACAAGAAUGAGAGUUGGACGAUCAGUGACCAGGCUUGAAGUGAGCUGCCAUGUUGUGAGCUACCCUACAGAGAAGCCCAUGUGGCAAGAAGCUGAGGGAGCCUCCAGCCAACAGCCAGUGAGGAGCUGAAUCCUGCCAAUAACUGGAUGAGUAAGCUCAGAAGCCAAGUCACCCCGAGAGGAACCUCGAGAUGACAGCACCCCAGAUGACUGCAGUCUUGUGAGAGACACUGGGCCAGGGGAUGCAGCCACGCCACACCCAGAUUCCCAACCCACAGAAACUGUGACAUAAUAAACUUGUGCUGUUUUCUAAGCCACUAAGUUUUGGGGUGAUUUGUCACUAGCUGCACU